UCGGAAAUACAAUUUAUUAAAAGAAAUUAGAAAAACGUGAAUGUACCAAAAGUAUUAAAAAACAAAUCUACAAACGUGAAUGUACUAGAAGUAUUAGAUAACAAAUCUACAAACGAAAAAUAUCAACGUGAAUCUACGUGUAAAUUAUUUGAAAGUCCGGAACGUAUACCGUGAUAUUAAAUAUAUUGAUCACGAUAAUCUUCUACCUUUACCGUCUUUAAUUUCUAAAAAAUCAAAUCAUCUUUUUUCGAUACAAAGUAUCGCGAAUAAAGAAAAUUAUGAAGUAAUUAAUGUUUCUUCGGAUGAAGGUAUCAAAGAAAUUGAUAUUUCUUCUGUUUUAAGUAAGUAAUUUACGCAUAAUUAUACAAAUAGGUUACUUAUUUUUUUUUUUUUUUUUAAUAAUUUUAUUAUUUGACAAAUUGACAAAUGCGAGUAUAAGUCAUUUAUUAUUGCUAUUAGAAAAAUCAAAUGAGGUUAAAACAUAUCCACCGGCGGAACCAACAAAAUGAAAAAGAAACUUCUUGAGAAAUACGAUAUACGAUGAUUGGCCAUCAGAUUAUAAAGUAUCAACGCAUUAUGCUGACUUAUUAUCGAAUAAAUACGUGAAAGACCAUGCUGAUGAAUUUCCUACAACUUUUUCAAGCUUGCGCGAAUCGUCAAAUAAAUAAUGAAAAAUCUGAUAGAGAUGAGAAGACAAAUAAUAGCGCAACAUACAGUAUAGAAAAUGUUUAUCUCUUAAGUAGAUUCAUUAGAAAUGUUAAAUCUUCUCGAUGAAUAUCAAUUGAAGUUAUUCAAAUCAAAAACAUUGUGUAGUAUUAUGGGAACUGUAAAUAAAGAAAUGGAAUGAGAAUGAAAAAUGAGAAAGAAAAAAUGA
rnacentral:lncRNA from 1 species